UACGUAGGGGGCAAGCGUUGUCCGGAUUUAUUGGGCGUAAAGAGCUCGUAGGCGGUUUGUCGCGUCGACUGUGAAAACUGGGGGCUUAACUCUCAGCUUGCAGUUGAUACGGGCAGACUUGAGUUCGGUAGGGGAGACUGGAAUUCCUGGUGUAGCGGUGAAAUGCGCAGAUAUCAGGAGGAACACCCGUGGCGAAGGCGGCCCCUGGGCCGUACCUGACGCCUGAGGCGCGAAGGCUGAGGGGAGCGAACGGGG
rnacentral:rRNA from 1 species